rnacentral:rRNA from 1 species
AUUGAACGCUGGCGGCAGGCCUAACACAUGCAAGUCGAACGAGUGGCGGACGGGUGAGUAAUGUCUGGGAAACUGACUGAUGGAGGGGGAUAACUACUGGAAACGGUAGCUAAUACCGCAUACCAUCGGAUGUGCCCAGAUGGGAUUAGCUAGUAGGUGGGGUAAAGUCUCACCUAGGCGAAGAUACCUAGCUGGUCUGAGAGGCAGAAGAGCCACACUGAAACUGAGCAACGGUCCAUAUUCCUACGGGAGGCAGCAGUGGGGAAGUUUGUACAAUGGGCGCAAGCCUGAUGCAGCCAUGCCGCGUGUAUGAAGAAGGCCUUCGGGUUGUAAAGUACUUUCAGCGGGGAGGCGUUACCCGCAGAAGAAGCACCGGCUAACUCCGUGCCAGCAGCCGCGGUAAUUC